rnacentral:rRNA from 1 species
AUUGAACGCUGGCGGCAGGCCUAACACAUGCAAGUCGAGCGGAUGAAGGGAGCUUGCUCCUGGAUUCAGCGGCGGACGGGUGAGUAAUGCCUAGGAAUCUGCCUGGUAGUGGGGGAUAACGUCCGGAAACGGGCGCUAAUACCGCAUACGUCCUGAGGGAGAAAGUGGGGGAUCUUCGGACCUCACGCUAUCAGAUGAGCCUAGGUCGGAUUAGCUAGUUGGCGGGGUAAAGGCCUACCAAGGCGACGAUCCGUAACUGGUCUGAGAGGAUGAUCAGUCACACUGGAACUGAGACACGGUCCAGACACCUACGGGAGGCAGCAGUGGGGAAUAUUGGACAAUGGGCGAAAGCCUGAUCCAGCCAUGCCGCGUGUGUGAAGAAGGUCUUCGGAUUGUAAAGCACUUUAAGUUGGGAGGAAGGGCAGUAAGUUAAUACCUUGCCGUUUUGACGUUACCAACAGAAUAAGCACCGGCUAACUUCGUG